rnacentral:misc_RNA from 1 species
UCCCCGUUGCCGGGGCAGUCUAGCUAGAGAAAUUCAACUAACUAUAAGGGUUGCGCUCGUUACUGGACUUAACCAUACAUCUCACGACACGAGCUGACGACGGCCAUGCAUCACCUGUCAUCGGGUUCCAAAAGGCACAGUCUCCUUUCGGAGACCUUCCCGAGAUGUCAAACCUUGGUAAGGUUCUACGCUUAUCAUCGAAUUAAACAACACGCUCCACCGCUUGUGCGGGUCCCCGUCAAUUCCUUUAUGUUUUAGUCUUGCGACCGUACUCCACAGGCGGGAUGCUUAACGCGUUAGCUUCGCUACUACCAGGAUUGAUACUGAUAACAGCUAGCAUCCAUCGUUUACGGCGUGGACUAC